UAGUCCACGCCGUAAACGAUGGAUACUAGGUGUCCGGGAUAUUAACCUCCUGGGUACUACAGUUAACGCGUUAAGUAUCCCGCCUGGGGAGUACGGUCGCAAGGCUAAAACUCAAAGGAAUUGACGGGGGCCCGCACAAGCGGUGGAGUAUGUGGUUUAAUUCGAAGCAACGCGCAGAACCUUACCUACCCUUAACAUUUCACGACGUAUACAGAGAUGUAUAUUUCUCUUCGGAGACGUGAGGAUAGGUGCUGCAUGGCUGUCGUCAGCUCGUGUCGUAAGAUGUCUGGUUAAGUCCAAUAACGAGCGCAACCCUUAUCCUUAGUUACCAGCAUUAAGUUGGGGACUCUAGGGAGACUGCCGGUGUUAAACCGGAGGAAGGCGGGGAUGACGUCAAGUCCUCAUGGCCCUUACGGGUAGGGCUACACACGUACUACAAUGGCAGAUACAAACCGUUUGCAAAGCCGCGAGGUUGAGCUAAUCGGUAAAACACUGUCCCAGUCCGGAUUGGAGUCUGCAACUCGACUCCAUGAAGAUGG
rnacentral:rRNA from 1 species